AGAGUUUGAUCAUGGCUCAGAUUGAACGCUGGCGGCAGGCCUAACACAUGCAAGUCGAACGGUAACAGGAAACAGCUUGCUGUUUCGCUGACGAGUGGCGGACGGGUGAGUAAUGUCUGGGAAACUGCCUGAUGGAGGGGGAUAACUACUGGAAACGGUAGCUAAUACCGCAUAACGUCGCAAGACCAAAGAGGGGGACCUUCGGGCCUCUUGCCAUCAGAUGUGCCCAGAUGGGAUUAGCUAGUAGGUGGGGUAACGGCUCACCUAGGCGACGAUCCCUAGCUGGUCUGAGAGGAUGACCAGCCACACUGGAACUGAGACACGGUCCAGACUCCUACGGGAGGCAGCAGUGGGGAAUAUUGCACAAUGGGCGCAAGCCUGAUGCAGCCAUGCCGCGUGUAUGAAGAAGGCCUUCGGGUUGUAAAGUACUUUCAGCGGGGAGGAAGGGAGUAAAGUUAAUACCUUUGCUCAUUGACGUUACCCGCAGAAGAAGCACCGGCUAACUCCGUGCCAGCAGCCGCGGUAAUACGGAGGGUGCAAGCGUUAAUCGGAAUUACUGGGCGUAAAGCGCACGCAGGCGGUUUGUUAAGUCAGAUGUGAGAUCCCCGGGCUCAACCUGGGAACUGCAUCUGAUACUGGCAAGCUUGAGUCUCGUAGAGGGGGGUAGAAUUCCAGGUGUAGCGGUGAAAUGCGUAGAGAUCUGGAGGAAUACCGGUGGCGAAGGCGGCCCCCUGGACGAAGACUGACGCUCAGGUGCGAAAGCGUGGGGAGCAAACAGGAUUAGAUACCCUGGUAGUCCACGCCGUAAACGAUGUCGACUUGGAGGUUGUGCCCUUGAGGCGUGGCUUCCGGAGCUAACGCGUUAAGUCGACCGCCUGGGGAGUACGGCCGCAAGGUUAAAACUCAAAUGAAUUGACGGGGGCCCGCACAAGCGGUGGAGCAUGUGGUUUAAUUCGAUGCAACGCGAAGAACCUUACCUGGUCUUGACAUCCACGGAAGUUUUCAGAGAUGAGAAUGUGCCUUCGGGAACCGUGAGACAGGUGCUGCAUGGCUGUCGUCAGCUCGUGUUGUGAAAUGUUGGGUUAAGUCCCGCAACGAGCGCAACCCUUAUCCUUUGUUGCCAGCGGUCCGGCCGGGAACUCAAAGGAGACUGCCAGUGAUAAACUGGAGGAAGGUGGGGAUGACGUCAAGUCAUCAUGGCCCUUACGACCAGGGCUACACACGUGCUACAAUGGCGCAUACAAAGAGAAGCGACCUCGCGAGAGCAAGCGGACCUCAUAAAGUGCGUCGUAGUCCGGAUUGGAGUCUGCAACUCGACUCCAUGAAGUCGGAAUCGCUAGUAAUCGUGGAUCAGAAUGCCACGGUGAAUACGUUCCCGGGCCUUGUACACACCGCCCGUCACACCAUGGGAGUGGGUUGCAAAAGAAGUAGGUAGCUUAACCUUCGGGAGGGCGCUUACCACUUUGUGAUUCAUGACUGGGGUGAAGUCGUAACAAGGUAACCGUA
rnacentral:rRNA from 1 species